CUCAAAUAAAUGCUGUGAUGUCUGGAGCCCUUUGCAGAAGGCAGAAGGCAAGCUUCUACAAUGGGCUUCAGUGGGGCUUGCCAACAAGCACCGGCUAUUUUGCACAGGGCUCUGCUGACUGAAGUGAUCCCCACGGCCCGAGCGGAGGAGAGGAGGGAGAGGAAGCCUCAGAGGGAAGAGGGAUAGCUCUGGAGGAGCCUCGCUGACGCACUCACGCUCACACAAACUCAAACACAAUGUCCCCCUCAGUCCUGGGCUGUGACCGGCCCGUGGCAUUGCCCAGAAAUUUAUGGAUGUUCCUGUGAGGACACACGUCCAGGCAGCCCCACUUUCACCUCCCUGCAUCAUUUGAGCUGAAAGCUCCUUCCUGUCGAUGCACUUGGCUAUAUCUGCGUCUGACCUGUCUGCCAUAUGUAAUAUCAAAGCCUCUGUCAGCACGGAGCUGAAUGGGAACAAAAGAGAUGCCUCUAUUAAUGAUUAACUGUUCUAAAAGCCCCGGCUUUUGUAUUCCCAUGGUGCCCAGGCUAUCUGGCCACCAUGUGACAUGCUCACAGCAUUUUUUGAGCAGAUUGGGGGAAAGCUAGUGAGCAAACACAGGUGCUUUGGAGCAGCGGUGCCGACGCUGUCAGGGACAACCACAAACAAGAGCAGCUAUGCCUGGCUAAAUGAAUCCCCACCCCUCCCAGCACCAUCACCACCUCCUCAACCCCCAGCUCUGUCACCAGCUAACUUGUUUGCUAGCUCCCUAUAGCUUUCUCCUUCUGCCUG